rnacentral:piRNA from 1 species
UCUUUUUAAAGGGAAAAAGACACUGAAUUU